rnacentral:misc_RNA from 1 species
AAGUCGUAACAAGGUCUCCGUUGGUGAACCAGCGGAGGGAUCAUUACAGAGUUGCAAAACUCCAUAAACCCUUUGUUUAUAUACCUGUUCAGUUGCUUCGGUAGGCGGCCCCAGGGCGGGGCCUCCAGCCUGCUCACGCAGGUGCCUGCCGCUGGCGUAAAAACUCUUGUUAUAUAUUAUUAUUCUGAGUCACAAAAAAAAUGAAUCAAAACUUUCAACAACGGAUCUCUUGGUUCUG